rnacentral:rRNA from 1 species
AUUGAACGCUGGUGGCAUGCCUUACACAUGCAAGUCGAACGGCAGCACGGGAGCAAUCCUGGUGGCGAGUGGCGAACGGGUGAGUAAAGUAUCGGAACGUGCCCAGUCGUGGGGGAUAACGUAGCGAAAGUUACGCUAAUACCGCAUACGAUCUAUGGAUGAAAGCGGGGGAUCGCAAGACCUCGCGCGAUUGGAGCGGCCGAUAUCAGAUUAGGUAGUUGGUGGGGUAAAGGCUCACCAAGCCGACGAUCUGUAGCUGGUCUGAGAGGACGACCAGCCACACUGGGACGGAGACACGGCCCAGACUCCUACGGGAGGCAGCAGUGGGGAAUUUUGGACAAUGGGCGAAAGCCUGAUCCAGCCAUGCCGCGUGCAGGAUGAAGGCCUUCGGGUUGUAAACUGCUUUUGUACGGAACGAAAAGGUUUGGGCUAAUAAGCUGAGCUCAUGACGGUACCGUAAGAAUAAGCACCGGCUAACUACGUGCCAGCAGCCGCCGUAA